rnacentral:rRNA from 1 species
GACAGCAGUAGCCGCGGGAAUACAGAGGGUGCGAGCGUUAAUCGGAUUUACUGGGCGUAAAGCGUGCGUAGGCGGCUAAUUGAGUCGGAUGUGAAAUCCCCGAGCUUAACUUGGGAAUUGCAUUCGAUACUGGUUAGCUAGAGUGUGGGAGAGGAUGGUAGAAUUCCAGGUGUAGCGGUGAAAUGCGUAGAGAUCUGGAGGAAUACCGAUGGCGAAGGCAGCCAUCUGGCCUAACACUGACGCUGAGGUACGAAAGCAUGGGGAGCAAACAGGAUUAGAUACCCGAGUAGUCCCUGUCUCUUAACA